GCCCUUUUAACUCAGUGGUAGAGUAAUGCCAUGGUAAGGCAUAAGUC
rnacentral:tRNA from 2 species